rnacentral:tRNA from 1 species
GGCCCUUUAGCUCAGUUGGUUAGAGCACGCGACUCAUAAUAGCUUGGUCGCUGGUUCAAGUCCAGCAAGGGCCACCA